rnacentral:rRNA from 1 species
UGGGGAAUAUUGGACAAUGGGCGCAAGCCUGAUCCAGCCAUGCCGCGUGAGUGAUGAAGGCCCUAGGGUUGUAAAGCUCUUUCACCGGUGAAGAUAAUGACGGUAACCGGAGAAGAAGCCCCGGCUAACUUCGUGCCAGCAGCCGCGGUAAUACGAAGGGGGCUAGCGUUGUUCGGAUUUACUGGGUGUAAAGCGCACGUAGGCGGACUAUUAAGUCAGGGGUGAAAUCCCGGGGCUCAACCCCGGAACUGCCUUUGAUACUGGUAGUCUUGAGUUCGAGAGAGGUGGGUGGAAUUCCGGGUGUAGGGGUGAAAUUCGUAGAUAUUCGGAGGAACACCAGUGGCGAAGGCGGCUCACUGGCUCGAUACUGACGCUGGGGUGCGAAAGCGUGGGGAGCAAACAGG